GGGAAUUUUAAGAAACGAAUGACCAGCUCCCACCCUCAGCCAUUCUGAUUUAAUUGCAGAGGGGUGCAGCCAGAACACCCUGAGUAUGAUCCCGGCACCUGCCUUGACUUCCUAAAAUUGUUAGGCUGCAUUCUUAGAAGCACUGGCUCAUAAAAACAGCUUUUGAAUUUCUUCCCUGUGAUGGCAGGCACAGUGAGAGACUCCAGGAAUAUAUACAUAACAAACCACGAUGUGCUUACAGCCUUGCAGUUUGGAGGUGUAGGCCUAUAAAAUAUGGAAUGUCACAUUGCAAGCAGGACAGGUAGAGUGAUGGAACAUCAAAGGAAAUAACCAACAGCUGGAGCAGGCUUUAGACAAAGAGGUGAAAUGAAGCUGCAUAUUAAAGGAGAUAGCAGAAGGGAAGUUCCCAAGUGAGAAGGCUCUGGGAGAGCACUCCUGGAGCCAGAGAGACAAAAUGAGACAUCCUGAAACUCUUUGAGUACACUGGUGGAGAUCUCUACACUGGCAGACUCAGUGGCAAUUGCAGGAAUUCUUUUCUGAUCCCUGUUCAAUUUUGGAUCUAGGUCCAGAUAGAAGUACCAGUUUUGAUGAAAUCAUUACCAUUGUGCCUUGUUAGAGACAGGAUUCAUACUAACAUCUUGAAAAGAUUUGUUCAAUAAAUUUUUGCUAAUAUAAAAGUAAAUUUUGACAGCAGUAUUUCUGGGUAAAAGGUUCAAGUAUCUUGUCAGUUUCCAGAAGCCAACUAUAACAGUUGCUCUUGUCUAGAUCCCCCCCAGACUAGCAAAAACAUUGGUCUGUUUUUUUUCUGCUGUAAUAAUGACCUUUGU
rnacentral:lncRNA from 1 species